rnacentral:lncRNA from 1 species
GGCGGAGAUUGACAAAAAAUGUAUAUAAUGAAUUAGGUAUACAACUAAAUAUUAUGGAUUUUAAUUUAUAUUGCACAAACAUUUACCUAAAUUGUUAAGUUCCUUCACACUGUGAACUGAUAACAACGGUAUAAGUUAAAAAAUGGAUGAAUUUUGUCAAUAACUUUCCUACUUUAUUUUUUUUUUAUAUCACCAUACCUAUUACUGUCUAAAAUAAAAUAGUAUUUAUCUUCAGCAAUAUUCCUAUUGUACAUAGUACAUAUUCUAUUCACUAUAUAUACAUUGUAAUAUCUGCCUGUCUCUAUAUUGAGGCUAUGGACAAAGAUACAGUUAAUACGUAAAAGGUUUAUAUAAUUGAUUAACAGGUCUAUCUAAAUAUAAUUAUAAUAUAUAUUUGUCAUAUAACAAAAUAGCAUUAACACCAGUAAUAACGGUAUCUUUCAUUCGUUGUGUUAACUCAUGUGUAAAUAUAUCAACAUUAUUUACUCUUUGUUUUAGCCAUUAAUUGUGACAACCAUAUUUUCAUAAGUAUCUCUGACUGAAAAUGGCCAACUCAAGUUGUAUUCAAUAAUUUGAACCAAAACUGAAUCAUUCGUCUAUGUUUUUAAUAAUACACUUAGGAACGUCCCAAUUCGCCUUACUCAUGAUAUAAACAGCAGUUUUUUCGAACCUUUACAAUUUGAAUAAAAAAAUACAAACGUAAUUUCUCAUUAUCAUCUGCUUUAUUAUUACCUUACAAUUCACAAUAUAAUUAAGAAUACUAGAUAAAUAAUAAAUAAAAAAGGACAGUAACGUUUCACAGUUGUACAUGUUAAUCAUCUGCACUUUUACUACAAAAAGCAAAACAGUCUUUCUACCUUGCUCGGCUAACAUGUUUUGUAUUUGUAAAAAGUUGCCAUUUAAUUAAUAAGGAUACAAAUAUCUACAGAAUUGUCACAUAUAUCAAGUUUGUUAUUAUUUAAAAAUCUUUUUUUUUAACUUUUACUGGAGAUUAUAUAUGCGAUAUACAAUGAAAAUGCAUUUAGAUAAUAAGACGUUUUAGUCUCCAAAUGACAGUUAGACACUUUCUGUUAGUAGUCUAAAUUUCAUUUGUUAAUAUUUAUUUAACUAACAAUGUGCAUACAUAUAUGUCUCAUUCUGAUAAGAUUAUUACAUAGUGUACACAUAAUACAUAAUUGAUAAUUUGGUCCUUUUCUUCUGCAUGUUGGAAAAGGGAUAUUUUUGCUAAAAUAAAAACAUACAUAUAUGCCGCAAUUUCGCAGGAUCAACAAAAGCAAUGCAUCUAAUUCACAACUAAAAAGCUUUCUACAUUUGUUCCAAUUGCAUGGGUUGUCGUUUGAUUCUCCUAUACAUAUAUAUACAAUUUUCCUAAGUAUUAAAUAAAAAGAAACAAUAUAAUCCCAGUCAAACAUUUAAAUUCACAAGAUAACUUGACCCAAACCUAUCUUAUUAAACGUGUUAGAAAAAUCGAUACGACUGUCUGCGCUCGUGUUGGAUGGAAGAUGAAUACAAUACGAUGUGGGGGUCAUCUACAAAAGUAUAAUAUACUCUAUCUUUUUUAUUACCUGUACAGCCCCCGCGAUAACGUUAUUUAUUGUAUCAAGAUAUAAUCAAAUGUUCAUUUUGAAGACCCGAAAUUAAUCAUUUAAUUACACGUAAAUUUAAUGAUAAAUUACGUGGGAUAUUGAAGAUGAUUAAAGUCAUACAUGUUAUUGUAAUUCUUUGAUUAAAGAAGGCAUCAAAUGAUUAAACAAUAAGGCAAAUCUUUGACUUUUGUGGAAAGAAGGAAUGUUUUUAUUU